AUCUUGUACAAUGGGGGCAACCCUGAUGCAGCGACGCCGCGUGAGCGAUGAAGCCCUUCGGGGCGUAAAGCUCUUUCGGCCGGAACGAUAAUGACGGUACCGGGAGAAGAAGCUGCGGCUAACUACGUGCCAGCAGCCGCGGUAAUACGUAGGCAGCAAGCGUUGUUCGGAGUUACUGGGCGUAACGAGUGCGUAGGCGGUUUUCUAAGUUCGGUGUGAAAUCUCCCGGCUUAACUGGGAGGGUGCGCCGAAGACUGGGAAGCUGGAGUGUGGGAAAGGCAGGCGGAAUUCCUGGUGUAGCGGUGAAAUGCGUAGAUAUCAGGAGGAACACCGGCGGUGUAGACGGCUUGCU
rnacentral:rRNA from 1 species